rnacentral:rRNA from 2 species
UAGGGAAUCUUCCACAAUGGACGAAAGUCUGAUGGAGCAACGCCGCGUGAGUGAUGAAGGUUUUCGGAUCGUAAAACUCUGUUGUAAGGGAAGAACAAGUACGUUAGGAAAUGAACGUACCUUGACGGUACCUUAUUAGAAAGCCACGGCUAACUACGUGCCAGCAGCCGCGGUAAUACGUAGGUGGCAAGCGUUGUCCGGAUUUAUUGGGCGUAAAGCGCGCGCAGGUGGUUUCUUAAGUCUGAUGUGAAAGCCCACGGCUCAACCGUGGAGGGUCAUUGGAAACUGGGGAACUUGAGUGCAGAAGAGGAUAGUGGAAUUCCAAGUGUAGCGGUGAAAUGCGUAGAGAUUUGGAGGAACACCAGUGGCGAAGGCGACUGUCUGGUCUGUAACUGACACUGAGGCGCGAAAGCGUGGGGAGCAAACAGG